AUGCAGCGGAAAUUUCUCGUAAGAGUGUAAACUGAUUAUUUGACUCAAAGCUGGGUAAAUAUCAGAUUUCUGGAAAGGCAGGGGUUCAUUUUUAUUUUUCGGACAAUCAGGAGGGUGAAAUUUAAAGACAUGGGGUCUGCUUUUAUAUUUCAUAAUUUUCUAGGGUAAAAACCGAGAAGUCCCAAACUUAAAAUUAGAGCUUGGAUUUAAUCCAAACCCUUUACCUCCUUUCGUCGUGCCGCUUCUGUUCUCCGUCCACUCGGCAAAAUUUCCGGUGCCCCUCACGUUGCCGCCGACCGGUGAAGCCUCAAUUCGGUCGGUUCCCCAUUGUUCCCAGCCUCAAUUCGUCGUGGUCCUCCAUCUCCAUUCACCUCGACCGCCAUUUUCGUUUGGGCUUGAGAUGCCCUUGCUUUCUGCCUUUCCACCCACCAAUCGGGGUAUCCAACCCUCUUGAAACAGGUCUCCCAAGUGUGUUUCUGUUUCCCGCAAUAGGAGCACCACAAUUUUGAUGUGUCGGGCUUGUUUCCCAGUCGGUUGGUGGCCGCGGAGCGCAGUGGUGGUGGGUCGUUGCGGUGUGGAGGUCGUUGGAUCUGUGCGGCUAAGCCUUGUCCGAUUUCUCCCCAAAUGAUGAAUCGACAUUGCCGUUGGCUUCGUCGGUGGGUGAGGGCGACGCCGGUGGCAUGAUUCGAUCGAGUCGCCUCCGUCUUCCUCCACUAAUGGGUGUGGAUCUUACUUCAGAAUCUCCCGUCGGAUUCAAUCAUACUCCUGAUUUAAUCUUUUCAAGAAUUUGAUGAGUCGCUUGGAGUUUGAAUAGAUGAGGUACAGAUCUGCCUUGUUCUUGAAAAUCAAUGCGAGGUUAUCCCAUAGGGCGUUCGACGUCUGGUGGUGGGCGAAGUCAGCAAUGAUGUCGUUUUCGAUGUUGUCGACAAUCCACGAGAACACCACAAGGUCGUUCUCUUCCCAUUAAUCAAAUCCCUUACUCCCCGGUUCUGGGGGAUCGUUCCUCUGCCUCCUAUCUUCACUACUUUGAUCAACCUUGCCCAUAAAGGGUAGUUUUUUCCAUUAAACUUGAAUGGCACUCUGAUGCUUUUGCUGUUUCUCAGCUGCUCCAGAUUGUCUUUUGUAUCUUUUGUAUCCACUGUAUCUGACAUAUUUUGGUGUAGGUUCGGAUUUUCUAUGUUGGUUUUGGCUGGAAAAGGGUCGAGAAUUGGUAUUAUUGGCUAUGAUUAAAUUUUUCUGAGC